rnacentral:lncRNA from 1 species
CUCAGCUCUGGCCCGUGGUACACGGUUCAGUCAGCGUGGUAAAUUUUUCCGAAAGCUAUAGGAGUUAAUUGCAAAAGAGUACCAUAACUCGGGCCAUAUUUACAAGUUGGUGCCAUCUUUCAAAUUUUUUACAAAUACGUACCAAGAUACAGCCCGUAUUUUGCAAACCUUGUACUUCUACGUAUAGAUGCUCUUUCUGACAGAUAUGGCCCACCGGUCAGUCUCUUACAAAAAAAACCCGACCCGGACCGCUUCGAUUCGGGAAAAACCGACUCUCUCUCUCUCCAUCCGAACCGGUCAGGUAAAAAAACCUUCUUCUCCUCCAGACCGAGCCCACCCUGCUCCUACAACCCGCCUCCCCCUCACCGCCACCAC